AUGGAUCUGUCCAUCCUGAGUUGGAAUGUGCGGGGCCUAAACAACCCUGCCAAGAGAAGGGCUGUGCAGAUCUUUGUGUCUGAACUGAAGUGCAAUGUUGUCUGCUUGCAAGAAACAAAGAUUAGUGACAUGACAAAUGGGUUCGUAAUGGAGAUGUUGGGGCCAAAAUUCACAGAUAAUUUUAUCUUUCUACCGGCGGCUGGUUCAAGAGGGGGAAUUCUC
rnacentral:rRNA from 1 species